AUUGAACGCUGGCGGCAGGCCUAACACAUGCAAGUCGAGCGGAAACGGCAGUAUUGAAGCUUCGGUGGAUUUACUGGACGUCGAGCGGCGGACGGGUGAGUAACGGCUGGGAACCUGCCCUGACGAGGGGGAUAACCGUUGGAAACGACGGCUAAUACCGCAUAAUGUCUACGGACCAAAGGUGGCCUCUACAUGUAAGCUAUCGCGUUGGGAUGGGCCCAGUUAGGAUUAGCUAGUUGGUAAGGUAACGGCUUACCAAGGCGACGAUCCUUAGCUGGUUUGAGAGGAUGAUCAGCCACACUGGGACUGAGACACGGCCCAGACUCCUACGGGAGGCAGCAGUGGGGAAUAUUGCACAAUGGGGGAGACCCUGAUGCAGCCAUGCCGCGUGUGUGAAGAAGGCCUUCGGGUUGUAAAGCACUUUCAGCAGCGAGGAAGGUAGUGUACUUAAUACGUGCAUUGCUUGACGUUAGCUGCAGAAGAAGCACCGGCUAACUCCGUGCCAGCAGCCGCGGUAAUACGGAGGGUGCGAGCGUUAAUCGGAAUUACUGGGCGUAAAGCGCAUGCAGGCGGUUUGUUAAGUCAGAUGUGAAAGCCCGGGGCUCAACCUCGGAACCGCAUUUGAAACUGGCAGGCUAGAGUCUUGUAGAGGGGGGUAGAAUUUCAGGUGUAGCGGUGAAAUGCGUAGAGAUCUGAAGGAAUACCAGUGGCGAAGGCGGCCCCCUGGACAAAGACUGACGCUCAGAUGCGAAAGCGUGGGUAGCAAACAGG
rnacentral:rRNA from 1 species